AACGAACGCUGGCGGCAUGCCUAACACAUGCAAGUCGAACGAGACCUUCGGGUCUAGUGUCGCACGGGUGCGUAACGCGUGGGAACCUGCCCUUAGGUUCGGAAUAACUCCCCGAAAGGGGUGCUAAUACCGGAUAAUGUCUUCGGACCAAAGAUUUAUCGCCUUUGGAUGGGCCCGCGUUGGAUUAGCUAGUUGGUAGGGUAAAAGCCUACCAAGGCGACGAUCCAUAGCUGGUCUGAGAGGAUGAUCAGCCACACUGGGACUGAGACACGGCCCAGACCCCUACGGGAGGCAGAAGUGGGGAAUAUGGGACAAUGGGCGAAAGACUGAUCCAGCAAUGCCGUGUGAGUGAUGAAGGCCUUAGGGUUGUAAAGCUCUUUUACCCGGGAUGAUAAUGACAGUACCGGGAGAAUAAGCUCCGGCUAACUCCGU
rnacentral:rRNA from 1 species